UUUACUAUUUAAACCUAAUUACGAUGUAAUUUCAUUAGUUUUUGAUAAAUUGAAGAAUAUUUUGGUGGUUUGUUGCCUAUAUGGCUUCUCCUUCCUCUCCCUUCCCCUCUCCCCCAUGAAUUUUUGUUUCUUCUUCGGUUUCUCCCCCCAUUCUCUCCGGUUCUCCCCUUUUUCUUGCUUCUUCUUUUUAUUUUUUAAUUCGUCCUGCAUCAAAUUUGGUAUCAGUGCCGAACCUUGGUAAUUUCUUUUCUUUAAUCCAAAAUUUCUUCAUAUCUUCUUCCCAAAAUCUGUUGGAACAGCACGAACUAAAAGAAUUUUGGUAAAGGCAGCAGUUUUUUUUCUUCUUCAAUUUUCAGUCUUAAUUGAAAAAAAAAGGUUACUGUUCAUCGCGGGUACUGUUCACUCAGAUUUCAGUUUAGUAUUUUGGUCAGUUUCUUAAUAAAAAAAAAAAAAAAUUUCUCGUUUUUUUUUGGCUGCUGCUGCUCAUAAAUAAAAAAAAUUGUGGUGGUGUUCCACAAAUCCCAAACCCUAACAUUCAAGUCCAUUCAGCCCUUCAGCCCAUAUAUUCCAUUUCUAUAACCUAGUCCAUUCAUUUUUUUAUCAAAACACUUGGGCCAUAAGCUAAUGGCCCAAAUUACUUCCAAAGCCCACUGACACACAACCCAUCUCUCAUAACCUAUUUAGCGAAUCCACUUGCUUUUCAGCCCAAUAAACACCAAAUCCAAUCCACUUAUCACAUAUUAUCACAAUCGGCCCAACACUAUCCAACCCAUAACUUGUCCCAAAUUCGCUCGGCCCAUAACCCUAGCCCAUUAUAUACAACACUUAACCCAGCCCAUAUCUACAAUACCCAAUCAACCCAAGCCCUAAACUCCUCCUUCCCCGACGGUAUCCCACAGUCACCACACUUUCUGCGACCACUCUCACUGCCAAUCGCCAGCAAUCCACUGCCACGUCAGUUGUCACGCACCACUCGGAGUUCAAUUUUCGCUUUAUUUUUCACAUCGGUGGACUUCUUCUGAGUUCAAAGUGCCAGGGACAUUUGUUGAAUUGGAUUUGGCCUAUUAUUUGCAUUGGGGCAGCUUGUUAAAACUCUUGAGGAUUAGUGUUCUAUUCAGCGACUCGACUGCUUAGGAGUAUACCAUUAUAAUUUUCUACUGGAGACUUGCCAACUGGGGAAUCAUAAUUGGGCACAGUUCUGAUUCUUUAGGUCCUGAAGUACAUCGCCAUCAGGUUUAAGCUUCCAUGGGCACCACUGCUGCAACUAAACAAGAGGGAGUACUUGAUUUAUAUUUGUCAUUGGUUUACAAUACUGCUUUAUUUAAAAUUGCGUUAAUUAAAUUUUUGUGAUGUUAUUCUAACAAUAUACCUAAAGUCACGUGACUGAAUCUGUUGAUUUCGUCAAAACCCUAUUUUACCCCACUUAUAGUACAUGAUUAGGUUUUGACUAUUAUUUGAUCCGUGCUUUGUUAUUUUACCUAGAUCAGCAGUAUUAGCUUGCGAUAUUUGAAUUUAUUUAACCUUGAAAAAAAUGCUUAGUUUGUUAUUUUUCAUUUCUUACAUUUAUUGUUUAUUGUUCUCAUAAUUGCACGUCAUUUAGUUGGUAUUACAUUGCAUGUAGUUGCGUAGUGGUCGUCUUGUCGUCUCUAUUUUCAAUACAUUGACCAUGGAUCCAUCCCCAUUUGAUGCACUCACUAGAUAAUUAGUGCAACUUGCCACUAACCUAUCGAUUUAUCAGAUAUAACUGCUACUCGUGAGGAGAGAAAUAAACUAACCGAUAAGUUGAGCAAUUUUAAGCAAACCCCUCGUUUGAUUGACACUAAUUCUGAAGUGUCUCAUAAUAGACAAUAUCAUCAUGGACAAAAUGAUCAAAAAUAUUUUCGACGCGAUCGUAGGAAUAGGGAUCAGAUUCGUGAGCGAGAACAAGGCCAUGGUCAUCAUGGUACUCAUGCUCUUCCUCGUCGUAAGGAGCGUUUCUUUAGAGACAUUGACUUAGAUACUCCUACUUUCGAUUUUUGCUUAGAUCAUGAAAUUUUUACCCAAUGGAACACCCUUAUACAAGAGAAUUGGCUAGUAACUGAGUACAUUGCUCAAUUUGAGAAAUUUCGAGUGAAAUGUCAUGUCGUUGAGGAUGAGACCUUGACUUUAAGUAGGUUUAUACAAAGUCUAAGAGAUGAACUUAGACGUGAGCUUUUCUUUCGAGGCAUCACUACUCUUGACCAAGCUUACUCUUCAGCUCGGGAUUACGAGUUACUUAUUAGUACUUCAUAUGAAAAGCGCGACCACCAUCGUUCUCCCAUGUCAUUAGCGCCACCUCAACAUGAGUCUGUCAUAGAGACUUCCCCGUCUAGUGUUCCUCUCAUUUGGAAAAAUUAGUGUAAAGGUCGUGAUAGUCCAAGGCCCCCUUCUCCUUAUAUAAGGUGUAUUGACAACCAUUCUUCCGUCUCAUUGGCUCCACCUCUCUUCUAGGACCUUCCCCGUCUAAUGUUCCUCAAAUCUUGGAAAAUAAGGAUAAAAUUUUUGAAACUUCAGGGACUUCUUCUCACCUGCUAUGCAUCAGCUGUAAGGACUUUGACCACAUCUCUUCCAAAUGUCCUAAUCGAGCCUUAGUCAUAGAAGAACGAAAGGAUGUAAUAGAAGAGUCGUUAAAAGAUCAAAUCUAUGAACCUAAAUUUGAAGAAUGUGAUGACUUGAAUGAUAUUGAGGACACUUCCUUAUGUAGUAUCAGGACUUUUCCUAUGAAUCUAGGGGUUGUACUCCUUCUUCCUGAUACCCCUCAGUUAAAUGUUGUGUGUCAUACUCUUUUCCAACCUAAAGGUACGAAUGAUUUGUGUAGUUAUGUCCUUUUCAAGGAAAAUCUUGAGAAUUGGGAUUUGAUCCUCCCAACAAUUUGAAUUGCAUAUAACAAUUUUGUGCAUCGAUUUAUCGGUACAAGUUCCAUCAAAGCUAUUCAUGGUUAUAAGUCUAGGAAACCUUUAGACCUUAUUCAAAUGUCUCGACAUAUUAGUAUGUCUGCGUCCGCUGAGGCAUUUGUACGUUAUCUUCAUGACUUGCAUAUUGAGAUCAAUAAACAAUUUGAAGCAAGUAAUGCAUUAUAUAAAUUUCAAGCUGAUUUGCAUAAGAGAAAUUUUGAAUUUAAUAUUGGGGAUUAUGUUAUAUUGCAAGCUUGUAGUGCUGGUCCUUUAAAAAUUUUAAAGCAUGUUGGUUCAAAUGCACACGUCAUUGCCCUUUCAUCACAUUUUGGCUACUACUCUGCUUUAAAUAUUGAGGACUUCAUUACUUACAAACACCGUGUUAUUUUCUUUGAUGAUCUAUUUUUACUUAGUUUUAUGGACCCCCAACUUGACUAUGUUGAUAUUUCUACUUCAAUACCAUCUAUCACAGCACAUAACGAUAAAAUUGAUGUUAUUUUAGAUGAACGUAUUGUAUUGACCAAUGAUGGCAAGAUUCAGUACUUCCUUGUUUGUUGGGUAGAUCGACGUGCUUCUUAUGCUCCUCAUUAUAUACAAUCAUGUGAAAAUCUUGAAGAUGAGGUGCAUGAGUAUUGGUUAUUUGGAGUCUAGUAUUAGUACUUGGUUAGAAGGAAAGAUCGUCCCCCUUGGUCAGAUCAUAUUCUUGGGAAUAAGCUUCAGUUUUCAGUACUAUCAAUCAUGGAAUUUCGAUACUUGGUUCGUUAGAAAGAUCAUCCUCGUGGCUUGACUUGACGCAUUUGGAGUAUCAUAUUGACUGCAGCCUAUACUAUCUAUCAACUCGACAGGUCGAGUUUUUCUCCCACCCCGAGAGAGUUGAUGAGGACAUCUACUUUUCAUUUAUUUUUAGUUAGACUUUAUUUAUGUUUUAGAUUUUAUUUAUGUAAUUGGGCUUGUGUUGGUCCAAGUCCAUUCUACUUAGGGUUUUAAUCUUUACUAUUUAAACCUAAUUGCGAUGUAAUUUCAUUAGUUUUUGAUGAAUUGAAGAAUAUUUUGGUGGUUUGUUGCUUAUAUGGCUUCUCCUUCCUCUCCCUUCCCCUCUCCCCCAUGAAUUUCUGCUUCUUCUUCGGUUUCUCCCCCCAUUCUCUCCGGUUCUCCCCUCUUUCUUGCUUCUUCUUUUUAUUUUUUAAUUCGUCCCUGUGUUCUGAACUUGUAUGUUCAUCUCUUAAGCAGGUUAUUGU
rnacentral:lncRNA from 1 species